UACAGAGGUCUCAAGCGUUGUUCGGAUUCAUUGGGCGUAAAGGGUGCGUAGGCGGCGCGGUAAGUCGGGUGUGAAAUCUCGGAGCUUAACUCCGAAACUGCAUUCGAUACUGCCGUGCUUGAGGACUGGAGAGGAGACUGGAAUUUACGGUGUAGCGGUGAAAUGCGUAGAUAUCGUAAGGAAGACCAGUGGCGAAGGCGGGUCUCUGGACAGUUCCUGACGCUGAUGCGCGAAAGCGUGGGGAGCAAACAGG
rnacentral:rRNA from 1 species